rnacentral:misc_RNA from 1 species
GUAGGUGAACCUGCGGAAGGAUCAUUAACACGUAUUCAAACGUAUCAACCCCCAUUAUACGAAACAAAAUUUGCUUUGUGGAUGGUGUUGAGCGCAAGCUCGGCAGCUCGUAGUUGGAAACGAUUACUUGUCUGUGUCAGAUCUCGAGUGACUUGUCACUUGUUUUCUGCGCAUAUCCACUUAUGCCCCUUUUUCAAUCAACCUACUAUCUAGUUUGACGGAAAACAUAAUGUCAUGCAGUUCUGCCCAUUCAUUUGGACAAGCUCUGAUGUUAAAAAGAUAUAAAAAGCUGAACAACUUUUAGCAACGGAUAUCUUGGUUCUC